GGUCGCCAUUUCCGCCGUCGGGACGUUCAGAACCCGCCCCUCUCCCUGUCCCACCUUUUGAGAGAGGUGGGGAAAGCUGCCUGGAGGAGUGAGAGCGACGUCCGCUAUUGACUAAUGGGGGGAGUUGAUAGUGUGAGGUGGGAGUAAGAGUGACAGCGAUUGGUCGGCCGUGGUUAUCUGCGCCUAGGCGGGAGCUCCUGGAAGCGGAGGCAGCGGGUGGGGGCCUAGUGGACUGGAGGGGUAACAAGAUGGCGGCGGAGACGGUGGAGCUCCAUAAACUGAAGCUUGCUGAACUAAAGCAGGAAUGUCUUGCUCGUGGCUUGGAGACCAAGGGAAUAAAACAAGAUCUCAUCAACCGGCUCCAGGCAUAUCUUGAAGAGCAUGCUGAAGAGGAGGCAAAUGAAGAAGAUGUACUGGGAGAUGAAACAGAGGAAGAAGAACCAAAGCCCAUAGAACUGCCUGUCAAAGAGGAAGAACCCCCUGAGAAAACUGUUGAUGUGGCAGCAGAGAAGAAAGUGGUAAAAAUUAUAUCUGAGAUACCACAGACUGAGAGAAUGCAGAAGAGAGCUGAACGAUUCAAUGUACCUGUGAGCUUGGAGAGUAAGAAAGCUGCCCGGGCAGCAAGAUUUGGGAUUUCUUCAGUUCCAUCAAAAGGUCUGUCAUCUGAUGCCAAGCCUAUGGUUAACCUGGAUAAACUAAAGGAAAGAGCCCAAAGGUUUGGUUUGAAUGUCUCUUCAAUAUCCAGAAAGUCUGAAGAUGAUGAGAAACUGAAAAAGAGGAAGGAGCGAUUUGGGAUUAUUACAAGUUCAGCUGGAACAGGAACCACAGAGGAUACAGAGGCAAAGAAGAGGAAAAGGGCAGAGCGCUUUGGGAUUGCCUGAUGAAAAGCUCUUAAUGCUUUCUGUUCUCCAGUGGUUUCCAUCUCUCUGACUUUUCUUGGUCAUAUAUAUACCUAAAUGCACAGUCAUGUGCCUAGGUUCUGCCUCGCAGUGAGAGAGCAUGUACCCUGGGUACAUCCAGGAACUUCAGCAGCAGUUUGACUCAUUGCUGUUCCAACUUUAAGGUUCAAGUGCUGGAUUGUGUCAUGUGACCAUCCCAAAACUCAGAGCACCCUAUGGCCAUCUUUGCCCUCUGUCACAUAACUUGAAAACUGCCUGAUGGCCUUUUUGCAAUGGUUCCCUCCAGGAAGCCUUGAUCUCAGUGAAGAAGUCC